AGAGCUUGCUCUCGGGUGACGAGCGGCGGACGGGUGAGUAAUGUCUGGGAAACUGCCUGAUGGAGGGGGAUAACUACUGGAAACGGUAGCUAAUACCGCAUAACGUCGCAAGACCAAAGUGGGGGACCUUCGGGCCUCAUGCCAUCAGAUGUGCCCAGAUGGGAUUAGCUAGUAGGUGGGGUAAUGGCUCACCUAGGCGACGAUCCCUAGCUGGUCUGAGAGGAUGACCAGCCACACUGGAACUGAGACACGGUCCAGACUCCUACGGGAGGCAGCAGUGGGGAAUAUUGCACAAUGGGCGCAAGCCUGAUGCAGCCAUGCCGCGUGUAUGAAGAAGGCCUUCGGGUUGUAAAGUACUUUCAGCGAGGAGGAAGGCGUUAAGGUUAAUAACCUUGGCGAUUGACGUUACUCGCAGAAGAAGCACCGGCUAACUCCGUGCCAGCAGCCGCGGUAAUACGGAGGGUGCAAGCGUUAAUCGGAAUUACUGGGCGUAAAGCGCACGCAGGCGGUCUGUCAAGUCGGAUGUGA
rnacentral:rRNA from 1 species